GAUCCUGGCUCAGAUUGAACGCUGGCGGAAUGCUUUACACAUGCAAGUCGAACGGUAGAGGGGGCAACCCCUUGAGAGUGGCGAACGGGUGAGUAAUAUAUCGGAACGUGCCCAGUCGUGGGGGAUAACGUAGCGAAAGCUACGCUAAUACCGCAUACGAUCUAUGGAUGAAAGCGGGGGAUCGCAAGACCUCGCGCGAUUGGAGCGGCCGAUAUCAGAUUAGGUAGUUGGUGAGGUAAAGGCUCACCAAGCCGACGAUCUGUAGCUGGUCUGAGAGGACGACCAGCCACACUGGGACUGAGACACGGCCCAGACUCCUACGGGAGGCAGCAGUGGGGAAUUUUGGACAAUGGGCGCAAGCCUGAUCCAGCAAUGCCGCGUGCAGGAUGAAGGCCUUCGGGUUGUAAACUGCUUUUGUACGGAACGAAAAGGUUUGUCUUAAUACGAUGAGCUCAUGACGGUACCGUAAGAAUAAGCACCGGCUAACUACGUG
rnacentral:rRNA from 1 species